GCCUUCGUGAUGUAACAAGAAGCACGUCCAACUGGCAGUCGGAGGUCCGUGGGUCAAAUCCCACUGAAGGCA
rnacentral:tRNA from 1 species